AUUGAACGCUGGCGGCAUGCCUUACACAUGCAAGUCGAACGGUAACGGGCCUUCGUGUGCCGACGAGUGGCGAACGGGUGAGUAAUGUAUCGGAACGUACCUUUCAGUGGGGGAUAACGUAGCGAAAGUUACGCUAAUACCGCAUAUUCUGUGAGCAGGAAAGCAGGGGAUCGCAAGACCUUGCGCUGAUUGAGCGGCCGAUAUCAGAUUAGCUAGUUGGUGAGGUAAAGGCUCACCAAGGCGACGAUCUGUAGCGGGUCUGAGAGGAUGAUCGGCCACACUGGAACUGAGACACGGUCCAGACUCCUACGGGAGGCAGCAGUGGGGAAUUUUGGACAAUGGGGGCAACCCUGAUCCAGCCAUGCCGCGUGAGUGAAGAAGGCCUUCGGGUUGUAAAGCUCUUUCGGCCGGGAAGAAAUCGUAUGGGUUAAUACCCUGUGCGGAUGACGGUACCGGCAUAAGAAGCACCGGCUAACUACGUGCCAGCAGCCGCCGUAAAAC
rnacentral:rRNA from 1 species